AGCAGAAUUGCUAGAUUGUAUGGUAAGUGUAUGUUUAACUUUAGAAGUAUCUUUCAAACUGUUUUCCAAAGUGGCUGUACUGUUUGCAUUCCCACAAGCAAU
rnacentral:pre_miRNA from 1 species